CAACGCCUGGAAGACCACAGGUUCUCCAUCCUUGCCUUACGAGUUCCUUCUCAAGUAGAUGCUUUUUUAGGGUGAAUUUUGCAUCAAGGCCAGAGCUAGACUUCCUUCUUUAGGGACGAGGAGGCUGUGGGAAGUUUAUACCAGUGCACGGGGGAGAGAACAUGAUCGAUACUGAGGACUAUUUUGUUGAGUCCAAUGGCUUUUGAAUUCAACAGCCAAAGCAAUUCUGUGCGAAAGAGUCAAUUGCUGGCUCUUGAAUCCUAUAUCUAGAAUAGAGUGUAGAUGCCUAGCAAAUAUUUAGACUGGCAGCAGGGCAAGAUCUUAAACCUGCCGUGAUCAAGCAAGUCAUGUGACAUGAAAGGAAGGAAUGUCCCAUGUAAACUAUUAAAGGCCCAUCUGAUUCCAGUUGUACAGCAUGACAAAUAAUUAUAUAUGAAAUUUCUAUGCCCUGCAGAAAAAUGUUAGCCCUUUGAUCUAAGCAGAGCAUCUCGCCUGCAUCAAAGGAACAGAGCACUUUGUCCUAGGGUACUGUGAGCCAACCCAGUUUCAACAGUGUUUGCGUCUAAGGUUUUACUUCUGUGUUGUUGAGGUGUGCCAAAAGCACAUGGGACCUGUUCUGUUUUUCAAAGUAGAUGGGGAGUCUGAGCAUUGUCUUCUGGCGGAGGUCUCUCUUUCUAACAACAACAUCAUCAACAACAACAAUUUCUACCUCACCCAUCUGGCAGGGUUUCACCAGCCACUCUUAGACCUUAUCUGUUUUUGUUUAUUGUGUGCUUGCUUUGCCUUUGCUGAUUUUGGAGCCAGCUGUAGCGCUUGGGGUCGGCCAAGUGGUGUAUAGCUAAACCAUAUGGCGUGAAAGCAUGGAUAACAUGACACCCUUCAACACAGUGACUUGCUGCCCUGCCUUGUCUGCAGGAAAACACACCCACACAUAAAGCAGCACUUGGUACAUAAGGACCAUGAUGGAUGGUGGGCCUCUAGCAUGGGGAUCCAUCUGGGGUCAGCCUGGCACUUUUGCAGUUUUGUAUUCACAUUUCCUGCCUUAAAGCACCCUGUUGUCUAGCUGCAAGCUGCCAUGUGGCAUAACACAUUUCACCAUGUUGGCAUAAAAUAAGACUGCCAGCCUUAGCUCAGAACUGUCUGUGUCCCCAAUUCACAGGUGGCCAGUUCCUCAAAGGGGGUGUGCAAGAUUGCACUUCUCAACAUGGCAACAAUGUAGAGCCAUGUUCCCUCUCCCUGCAGCCCCAGCCUUUGGCUCUUGUUGAACUAUUAGCUUCCAGCAAAGCAUUUUUCACACUUCUGGUUAGCAAGCUGCAUUGAUACACCUUUUGGAGGGUUGGGAAGCGGCACAGCAUUGGGGGGGGGGGCUGCAUUUGACUCUUGUCUCCAGACAGAAGAUGAUUCCUGUUGCUUCUGUUGUGCAUUCCACAUCCAUGCAUAUUUACACAUGUUGGCCCCACUCAGUUCAGUGGGACUUACUCCCUAGUAAAUGCACAUAGUGGUGUUGUGGGGAUUCUUUUGUACCACCCCCCCUUCCCCCUUUGCAGAGCCUGCAUAUGCAACGGUGGGAAAAUCAUUGCUUUAGACUAGAGAAUUAAUUCAGGCGCUCCGUUUUGUGGAUUGGUUUGUUGAUAAAAAUGUGCCCUGUCUCAAAUGGUUUACACCGGUCUCUCAGUCUAAUUCAAGCCGAGGCCAUUCUAGAGACAAAGACAAAUGCAUUUCCCACCCUACCUUGCUAAUCAUUCUGGGCAGAGUUGUGCCACCUCAGGCCUUCAAUUCAUUUCCCUUAAACGCUUCCCUUCCUUUCUGAUCUACCUAGUUGCUGAUGAAGUGCAGCCUGGUUCAGGCUCCUUCUCCUUUGCCCCUCUCGGACUAAUUGAAUUAAGCGGAUGGGAAGUGAAUCCAAUUGACUAGAUUAAAUGAGCUGGGCACAGAUCUGGGAAGAAAUCGGGGCCUUGGAAGCGGAGCAAAGGAGCGCUUCCUGUGGCUACAGCUCUUCCGCUGCCCCGUGAACUGCACCCCCCCCCAGGUGCCAUCACUUCACCACCCUUUGCCUUUUGCUUAACCUCUCAUCCCUGGUCUUCCAGCAGCCCCUGCUGGGAAAGUGCAAUGGCUCCCCGUCUCCUCAGACAUUUCCCCCUUCACUCUCUUCUGUUGCGCAGAGCCUCCUUACUCUCCUAGGUAAUUAGUGGUUAAUUAGCCAAGCUGUCUGACUUCGGCAUGGCCCCCUCCACUCACGCUUCCCUCACGCUGGGCCUCAGGGCUGUGAGUGUGUAAUGAACUGCAGGCUGGGGAAGGCCCCAGCCACAUUUGCUCAUUUAAUUUCUGCUGCAUCAGCUUGCAAGUGCAUUGGCUUUGAGGCUCUCGCUGUGCUGGAGGGGGCCUGGGACCUCCAAGCUGUUAGGUUUAAGUUGUGCUCCGGGGAGCAAACGCUCUGGUGACAAGCACCAGCUGGGGCUAGAGGAGGCUGGAGAGCACUGUCCUCUUCAACGCCAGCAUUCCCAGACUGGCUUUCUCUCCCCGCUCCCGCCCCCAAGAAGAACUGUCCCUAGAUACUUCCACACAUCUGCUGCUAGUGGAGGGAAGAGCAUGUUUGUGAGGAUGAAACACACAGUCUCCAUUUCCCUUUCGAAAGUGAGUGGAGACGGGGUGCAAACGCCUCUAGAAAUAAUGACAUCUGAAAUGGAAGGUUUUGCCUUUUUACACUUGACAUUCCUGUCUGGUCCAUGUUUAGGGUCUCCCCAAGGUUUGGGUGACAUUUUUAUCAGCUGCUUUGAAGUUUGAAUGUGUGUGCGCGCUCUGGGCCCACACACACUCUGGGUUGUUCAACCUUUUCCUCCAAACAUCCAUAUCCUGAUGUAACUUCCCACACACCCUGCCCCAAACUAUUUUUAAAAGCCAGGAACACCAUCUGCACCUUUUCCUUCCCCCGCCCCAAUGCCUCACUACUCAUGGAGAUAUUAACAGUGGAGGGAGGGAUUUACAUAAAAGGACUAAAACCCUGUCCAGAGUAGCCACAUGAGGGUGCUUAGUUAGUUUUCUCCUCCUCCUUAACACAUACUGUAAUCCUAAUCCCAGAUCUCCCACAUGCCAAAGUUACACAAGAACAGCCCUAUCCUACCCAGCUCCCUUGCUGAUGUGGAAACUCAAAACAUUUGCUAUCACCAUCUUGCCACAUUUUAAAUCCCUGAUAGGCUGCAAUAUUUGCCAGCAAACAUGGAGUUCCUGUCCAUGAAACUGACAAGUAAUCUAUACACUGCCAUUCAUACUUAGCAGAGUUUUUAAAACUCACCUAUCCAGCCUUAAAGAUUAUUUUACCAAGUAAUAUAGAAGCAGAGGACAGGACAUGAACCUCCAUUCUUGGAAUGCUUCCUGAAUUGCGGAGGUGGCUGUGGCCUUCCUUGCAGAAUGGGAUGCCAAUCUUGCUCAUAGGUAGCAAGGCUUUAGGUUAAAAUCAAACCAGGUAUUGUUGUUGUUUAUUAAAUAUCUAUACUGCCCUUUAUCCGAGGAUCACAGGGCUGUUUACAAUAUAAAACAGAACAAUAUUCCCCACUUCAAAAAGAGGAAAAAUUAAUUAUGGUAAAAUCAAAAUGGAACAUCAGCUGUCCAGGAUUUAGAUCAUGGUGAUUUAACAUCCUGUGCUUGACUUUCCCCACAUAGUUAAGCCAUAAGAAUGGAAAUCUGCUAUUAGCUAAAGGUGUGCUUAAUAAUGGUGAUCAAUGCUCUGUCUUUGCUUAAUGAGCUGUUAAAUUGCAUCCCUGAGAUAGAUCACUAAGACCAGCCUGCCUUUGUAGCUGGGAGGUGAGGUGUUGUGUUGCAGUGGUGAGGGCAUAGUGCUCUCAUUCUAACAGAGAUACACCAUGCUUCCCUCCUAGCAGGACUGAAAGGACUUGAUAUCAAUGUUCUUCAUUUGCCCUCUUGAUUUACAAAGUCCCAGCAUUUUGGUCCUAAAGGGUUACUAUGAAUAUGGUCUCAUAAGUUUCCCACUAGCCUCAAACACUGCAGCGAGACUGUAUCUCCUGCUGCCAUCGCCCACAGCCUGCUUUUAUAUCCAGGUGAUUUUAAAGGCCUUCUAAGUGCACAACAAGCAACCCAAUUGCUUUCGAGCUCAGGUUGAUUCAGCCUUCCAGCUGCAAGCUUUGAACAUAAUGCUCUUGUAAAAUAUGCUGGUCUAUUAUUGAGGUGUAUGUGAUGGAUUUGUUAUCUGAUCUGUACCAGCAUUUGAAUAAGCACUCUUUCACAGCUGCUUUUGUUUCAAUACAGCCAAACAACAGCAACAAGUGAUGGAAGAUGUAUAUAACUGCAUGCUGCAUCUAUUUUGGCUAUGUUUGCUAAUACAUCAAGGCUGUUGGAGUCCAUUCUUUUUGUGUCUAAGCCUUUGUGAAAUGCUCCAGGCCAGAGUAAAUCAAGUAGCCACUGGAGGUUUAGCAUUGAGGUGAAAUCUAUUUCAGACAAUGCAGGUAUGACUCAAAGCAGCUUUACGUCCUGCAAAGAAGUCACUAAACAGGAAUGAUUAUGUCAUCUU